CAGCAGAGGGGUGAAAGAGCCACUUGCAGCUCCGGAGCCGCGGGUUGCCGACCCCUGAGGAACUUGACUGGCUUGACGAGUCCUGACCUCAACCCGAUAGGGAUGAAUUAGAGCAGAGGCUGUGAGCUAGACCUUCUCAUACAAAAUCAGUGCCUGACUACAAAUGCACUUCUAGAGGAAUGGUCAAAUAUUCUCAUAAACACACUCCUAAACCUUGUGGAAAACCUUCCCAGAAGAGUGGAAGUUGUUGUCCACACUGAAAAAGGGAUAUCUGCCUUUUGUACCAGGGUCAGCCAAUGAAUGUGACACAUGGCUUGUUAAAAAAUAUGCUAAGCAUUAAAACCUUUUUUAAAAUAGUUUUUAAUCUUUUCUUAGAAUAAAUGUACUUCAAUUAAAGGGUUUUUCCUCCCCAUUUCUUUCAAAUUAACUACUGGCAGUCAAAUCCUUCUUUGUUUACAUGUUCAGUUUUCUUGGUCAGCAGACAUAUAAAACUGUUUGCAAUGCAGUGAAAAAGUUAAUGUCCUGUUUUUAUUUUGUACAAUCUCUCACUGAUCACCAGCUUGAAAGUUAGAGUGGCUUCUGAAGUUCACUGCAUGUGUGUCGUGUUCUGUUUUCAUCACCUCGGAUAACUGGAUAAAUUGAUUGUAUUUACUGUACUAAUGACUAGAAGUUCAGAAGUUUGACUGAUCUAAAGUUUAAUACUUCUAUAAAAUUCCAUAAUACAAAGUCCAUCUCUUUCUAUAUAUUUAAAAGUACAAACAUUUUACAAAACAUCAAAUCUGUUAUUGCACAUUUUC